rnacentral:misc_RNA from 1 species
UCGGUUCUUCUAAAGUGUCGGUUUUUGUUGUCCGCCUGAGUGCGGUUCGGGGAGACCCGAUACCCUUUUCGGUCUUAUCACGCCGGUGAGGCUCUCAUGGGCCGCGGAGUGGGUGUUCUGCGUCCUUCCGUGGCGAAAGUGGGCUGCUUCCUAAAUGUGGUUGUACCAAUGCCAUUAGUCUCAGAAUGUGAAUAGCAGGCAGCAAUGCCAAUGCAAUCAAUUA